GACGAACGCUGGCGGCGUGCUUAACACAUGCAAGUCGAACGGAAAGGCCCUGCUUUUGUGGGGUGCUCGAGUGGCGAAAGGGUGAGUAACACGUGAGUAACCUGCCCUUGACUUUGGGAUAACUUCAGGAAACUGGGGCUAAUACCGGAUAGGAGCUCCUGCUGCAUGGUGGGGGUUGGAAAGUUUCGGCGGUUGGGGAUGGACUCGCGGCUUAUCAGCUUGUUGGUGGGGUAGUGGCUUACCAAGGCUUUGACGGGUAGCCGGCCUGAGAGGGUGACCGGCCACAUUGGGACUGGGAUACGGCCCAGACUCCUACGGGAGGCAGCAGUGGGGAAUGUUGCACAAUGGGCGGAAGCCUGAUGCAGCAACGCCGCGUGCGGGAUGACGGCCUUCAGGUUGUAAACCGCUUUCGCCUGUGACGAAGCGUGAGUGACGGUAAUGGGUAAAGAAGCACCGGCUAACUACGUG
rnacentral:rRNA from 1 species